rnacentral:lncRNA from 1 species
GUCGGUCUCCUUCGUGCUUUGCUUCCGCCUGGACUUUCCGCCAGUGAGGCCCUGAAGCUCUUCGAUCUCCGCACGGGCAGCGGCGUCCGCCGCUUCUUUGGCGAUGCGUUCAGCUGAGAAGAAGAAUCUGGAAGACUCCAAGCUCCAGACUAGCCGAGAGACGAUUCCGCACGCGCCGCCCAAGUCGGAACAUAUGUUUAUACAUUGGUGUCGACGCAUGCACAAGAAAAGUUGAACAUCUGGAUACACAGGGAAGUCCCGAAUGUAUUUGUGUGUACGUCUGAAUGCGUCACUUCGCGCAAAGACACUUGGGCGCAUGUGUCACCAAAUGCACGCGUGAGAAUGCGAAGAGCAGCAAAGACCGCGCGAAACAGAGGAACAGACCGAAUCUUCCGGAGAAGUCUCCCCCCACUGGGUGGGACGGUUUGUCCCUUCUUGGAUCCUCAGUUUAAUUUAAGCAGUCCUUUGUCUACAGCUCCCCGCUUCGAGAGAUAGGAAAUUCCUGCUGGCGCACAAAGUCGACUCGGUUCCGAAAAAAGGCGUCAAGCGCUCCAGGCACGUGUGUGUUUUUCUUUAUCUCCAUGUGAAAACGUGAAGAUUAGUAGGUGUUUCAUUGUCCAGGGGGACGGAGGAGCGGCUUUUUCAAAUGGUUUCUGCCGCGGAUUUGCAGCGGAAAAGUUCGAGUGCGUGUUGCGGCGCCGCCGGAGGGCCAUCUGCCCGAAAGAACAGACAACGCUUUGUCGGCGGGAGAAGCUCGGGCGGGGUUUCGGCCACUGAAACUCACCGCGGUCCAUGAACACGUGGCAGUCGUACAGCUGCGGCACGACGGCGCACACGACCUGAAGGAACACCGAGCAAAGGACGCAGGACAGGGAAGGAACGAGGAUCGAGAGAGAAAGAAGGAAGGAGAAACGCAUCAUAAGGGAGUCAUGGCGAGCGAUGGCGGCGCACGUGGUGACGCUUCGGGACGAGCUGUGUCCACACAGAAGAACGCGCUCUUCUGUUUGGUUCUUUUAUGCUUGAGGCCAGAUGUCGCCCUUCGCCAGUCGCAAGACUUCGGUGUUCACCGUCUUGUGGGGGGGCCUGUUCUUCUCAGUGUAAACAGUUCCGCGUCGCCAGAACCUGUGAGCUUUGAGAGAGGCGCGUGUACCUAGAAUGCCACGAGAUGGGAUUACGUCCACACGGCGUUGACGAGAUAGGGAAGGAAAUUUCCUCGCUUUUGCAUGUUGACGCUUUGCAUGCGCGAGACACCCGAUAGGCGGGCCUACUUG